rnacentral:rRNA from 1 species
UACGGGGGGGGCAAGCGUUGUUCGGAAUUACUGGGCGUAAAGGGCUCGUAGGUGGCCAACUAAGUCAGACGUGAAAUCCCCAGGCUUAACCUGGGAACUGCGUCUGAUACUGGAAGGCUCGAGUUCGGGAGAGGAAUGUGGAAUUCCAGGUGUAGCGGUGAAAUGCGUAGAUAUCUGGAGGAACACCGGUGGCGAAGGCGGCAUUCUGGACCGAAACUGACGCUGAGGCGCGAAAGCCAGGGGAGCAAACGGG